CUGCUUCAAAGAUUUUUAUUUAUGUUUAUAUAUUUAUUUUUUUUUAAGACAGAGUCUCGCUCUGUUGCCCAGCUGGAGUGCAGUGGUGCGAUCUUGGCUCACUGCAACCUCUGACUCCCUGGUUCAAGUCAUUCUCCUGCCUCAGCCUCCCAAGUAGCUGGUACUACAGGCAUGCACCACCACGCCCAGCUAAUUUUUGUAUUUUUAGUAGAGACAGGGUUUCACCACGUUGGCCAGCAUGGUCUCGAUCUCCCGAUCUCCUGAUCCGCCCACCUCAGCCUCCGAAAGUGCUGGGAUUACAGGCAUAAGCCACCGUGCCCGGCCUAUAUUUUUAUUUAUUUAUUUAUUUAUUUAUUUAUUUAUUUAUUAUUUAUUUAUUUGAGACAGAGUGUCACUCUGUCCCCCAGGCUGGAGUUCCGUGGCGUGAUCUCGGCUGACUGCAACCACCUCCCAGGUUCAAGCCAUUCUCCUGCCUCAGCCUCCCGAGUAGCUGGGUCUACAGGUGCCCACUACUAUGCCUGGCUAAUUUUUGUAUUUUUAGUAGAGAUGGGGUUUUCACCAUGUUUGGCCAGGCUGGUCUCAAACUUCUGACCUCAGGUGAUCUCUCUGCCUCGGCCUCCCAAAGCGCUGGGAUUAUAGGCGUGAGUCACCGCGCCCAGCCAUGCUUGGAUGAUUUUUUCAAGGGUGGAAUUCUGGCUUCUUUUCCCCGAUCUCACAAAGGAUCCUUAAUCAGGCAACCCCAAUGGGAAGUGUUAAGGAAUAGCCAGGCUGACCUGAAGUAGCUUCAGUUUCUGUUCCUUGGAAGCUCAGAAUGACUGCGGCUGGAGCAGUGUGGCUCCCUUCCCUUCAUUCUUCAGCGGAGACAGAGGAGGAGGGGUGAGAUAAGAGGUGGGAGUGAGAAAGGAGAGAGGGAGGGGGAGAUGAAGAGGGAUGGAGAGGGAGAUAGUGGAUGAGCAGGGCACAGGGAGAGGAAGCAGAAAGGAGAGGCAAGACAGGGAGACACAGAGCACAGAGGAGGAGACAGGUGGGGGCUGGGGUGGGGCAGGGAGAGCCUGUGAGGUCACCCAGGCCACCCUGCUCUCGCUGGUCUGUUGUAACCCAGUCCAUGGCUUCCUGCCACUGCAGUGGGCCCAGGGCUGGCUUAGUGCUGGAAUGCAAGUGGCUGUGGCUUGGAGCCUCCCCUCUGGCUGAGGGAAAAAAAUUGCUGACAAAUCUGCUUGGAAUAUCUGAGUUUUUCCAACGCGGAAAGAAAACACACACACACACACACACACACACACACACACACACACACGCCAGUCUUAUCAUAAGCCUGGCAGAGCAGCUCAGGAUGGAAAAAUUUCAUAAUUGAGAUGGAUGGAGGAGGUGCCACUAAAACUGGUGGAAAACAAGCCCCACCUGCCCCCACUCUACGUGAUGACACCUUUCCAGGAGCCCUCAGAUCCCUCCCUGCUUUUGUCCCCCCUUGAUCUGCCCUUCUUGUCCCCAAGUACUGUCAAGGACCUAGGAGAUCCCCUUGGGAGCACUGGAGUUUGGUGACAUACAGAAAGCCCAUUCCACCAAGAGUCGAGAUGGUGCCCCACCAGCCCUCAACCCUGGCCAGCUACAAACAUCUGGAGGCAGGAAAUUCACCCAGUGACCAGAAUCUUGGAGGAGGUACAUGAGUCUUAAAUGGAGCUCCCAAUACUACUCCAACUUCUACCCAGCCCCAGCAGGUCCUCGGGGACCCUCCAUGCUCCCCAAACCAAACGAUUCCUCCAUCUCUCCAUCUCUGGGUGCAGGAGGCGUGGCUUGAAGAGACGUUAAGAAAAAAAAUCCUGGAAUAGGUACAGGUUAAUGGGCAUCUCCAGUUAGCCCUGCACAGUGGGAUCAGAAAGACCACUAAGACCCAAGCAAGGGAGGCAAACAUGUACAAACUGAGCUGCAACUCAUGUUAGGAUAAUCUGAACUUCAAAGGCACAAUGGGCUUCUUGUGAGAUCCCAGGGAAGGAGCCAUGAGUGAGGUCUGGGUGACUGUGAAGGCUCUGGAGGACCUGGCGUUUGGACUAGACCUUGGGAGUGGAGCAGGGUUUCCACAGGGAGAGGAAACUGGGGAAAGAUUUUGCUGAUCCUUCAAGCUGCACCUACAAAGUGAGAUCAGAGAUUCUGAGCCCUGCCCUUUCUACCACACCAGCUGGGCAGGACAAAGGCAAAUUCAUGGAUCUGAGUGGAUAUGAGUCCAGACUGUGAUACCUGUUUGGGCCAGUCACAUGACUUCUCUGAGCCUUGAUUUUCUCACCUGUAAAACAGGAAUGCCAGCCAUUUCACAGAGUUGCCAUGAAGAUGAAAUCAUUCAAGCCAAAAGUGCCUGCCGCAUAAUAGAUGCUCAAUGUAUGUUUCUUGAGCAGAUACAUGUAACUUAUGGCACUUUACAAGGGAUUUCUCUCACAAACACAUUUUGAUCCUCCAACAACAUUUUGUCAUGGUCCCUGCUCUCAGUCUAGUAAUGUAAAAUAUUACUGACCCCCAUCACACAUUGCAAGCAGCACUCACUUCUUUGGAAAGCUGAGCUCUGCAUGCAACAUGCUGCCCAAGAAGGAAAGGAAGCAGCACUGGAGACCUGUGUUUCAUAGCUAACCAAGAUAAGGGCAUUUUUUUCCAAAUGUCUGUGGAGGGGGUCACACCAUUUUAACUAUUUACUGCUGUAACCCCAUUUUUAAAGUGUAGUCUGUGAGCCAUCUGAAUCAAAGUCUCUUGCAAAAUCCCGGCCAAAAUCCAGACAUACUGAAUCAGAGGGUCAGGUCCCAGAAUAGGCAUUUUGAACAAACUCAGGUUCAUAAAGCUUGAAAAGUUUUUGGGGCUGUUGUGCCUGUUGUUCUCUUAGUCUGGGACACUCUUGUCCAGAUUGACAAAGGGCUUGCUUCAUUCAGAUCUGCUUAAAUGUCUGCUCCUCAGAAAGGUCUUUCCUGACUACUCAAUCUAAUAGAGUAGCCUCUAUCACCUUCAUCCCCUUAAUGUGCUUGAUUUUUCAUCAAAGUGCUUACAACCUGAUAUCAUAUUACUCUUGUGUCUGUUUAUUGUCUGGCUCUUUCACUAAAUGCAAGCUUCAUGAACAUAUCCAUUUCACUGUUGUACCUUUAGUGCCUAGAACAGUGCUUGAUACAUAGUGGAUAUCAGAGAAUUACUCAUUAAAUGAAUGAAUAACUGCUCUAUGCCCUUGAAGAUUGCACUGGCCAUUAGCGCUGAUUGCCAAAUAUUUCCAGCCCUUUCCCCUUCUGAG
rnacentral:lncRNA from 1 species